rnacentral:lncRNA from 1 species
GGGAAAGCCUUAUUCCAACUCUAUCACCUCCUAUCUCAUUUACAAUCGCUUCAACUAUUUCAAGUGCAAAUCUACAACGAUUUCCUAAUGAUCCUCCAUAUUGGUCAGUUCGAUCAUUGACUUGAUCUUUCAUAAACUGAUCAAUUAGGUACCCAUGAGCUCCAUGGAUCUCAACUCCAUCAAAUCCCGCUUCAAUUGCAUUUCUAGCAGCAAUCCGAAAAUCAUUAAUAAUUUGAGGAAUUUCAUUUGUUGUUAGCCGUCGUGGUGGUGUAAAGUGUAUCACAUCGAGGCCAUUGGAAUGAAUUUGAGGUGCUAAUGGCUUGUCUGUGCAGGAAAUGGGAUCCUGUCCACUGGUCUGAAACUCUAUUGAAAGGGGUCAGUUAAGAAGGGUUUAUUUUUCAACAUUCACUCAACUAAUAGUUAUUAUUUCAGAAAGUCACAUUUUUUCUUGAUUCUUUUUCCAAGAAAAAGUAACUUUCUAAGAUAAUAACUAAUAAAAUUGAGUGACUACGUGAAAAAUCAACACUAGGUAAGUUGUACAAAAGUUACAUUUAGAGUUACAUUUCUCUCGAAGCAUCAAAUAUGACUUGAUAAAAUGGCUUAAAUCAUGGGAAAAAUUAAAGUCAAUUACCUUUAUUGGAAACUCUUCCAACAUGCCAAAUUUGGGAAAAGAAGAUUCCGCCUUUGGCAUGAACUUCAUUUACAAUUGGUUUCCAGGCUUCUACUUGCUCCUUUGUCCAUAUACCAGGUGUAUCUUUGUACCCUCUGCCGGUUUCAGAAAUUACUGUGGCCUCUCCUAUUAGAAGACCGCCUUGUGUUGUUCUUUGCGAAUAAUAUAGAAUAGCAUGUGGUUGAGGAACAUUGCCAUAAGAUCUUUGUCUUGUUAAUGGUGCCAAGACAACUCUAUGAGAUAAUUGAAAAUUUCCCAUUUUAUAAGGGGUCAUUAGAGGGAUAUGUUUCUCUUCAGCAGUUUUAUUUUCCAUUUUGGGCAUUUUCUUGUUUUUGUCACAAUACAAUUUUCUUGAGUAUCAGCUGGUAACGACUGUGGAUAUUAUUUAUAACAAAAGGUGAAACUGAGAUACGUGAGUGCAGCCAGAUAAUGCUGACACAUUGUGUUUAAAAAGAGGUAGGUUUUUUCUAAAAUGAAGCGACUUUGUGUCUCCAUUUUAUUGGAAAGAUGAUAAGUAUUUUGUGGUCAUGAUUAAGUGGUAUAGUAAUGUGGACAUAAUAUGCUAGAAAUACAUAUAAGCAAACAUCUCGAUUGGAAUCCGAAGUCACAGUAUAACACUAAUAAUUGGAUAAUAUGUGUUGGGAAGAUAGCGGCACUAUAAAAGAGCCCGACAGGGUAGUAACGGAAGAAUAUCCAAGUCUAAACUUUUCCUUCCAAUUUGAACUAAGAGGAGACAAGCAAACCAAGCAAAACAAAGUAAUAUGGUAGCAAACCAAGCAAAACAAAGUAAUAUGGUAGCAAAUGAAUUACAACACAAAAAUAUGGUAGCAAAUGAAUUACAACACAAAUACGAUAGGGCAAGAAUAAAGGCAAUCACACAAGACAUCAAAUUUAUAUGGAAAACCCUUCGGUGUGAAGAGAAAAAAACUACGGGACCAAACCUCCACUGUAAUCACCAAAUAGUUACAAUAUUGUUCUCCAAAAUGACCACAAAACAAGUGUCAAAUAACAAGAAACAAUACAUAAACCACACCACCAAACACUAGAGAAAUAAAGGAGUGAAAGCACAAAAAAUGCAGCUACUUUUCGGGAAUGAAGAAUAGGAGAUACAGGCCACCAAAUCAAGCUCCAUCAGUUCCUAAUCAAAGAUUGAGAUGAGAGGAACAAGCAUUCCAAAAAUCAGCUCAAUCGGACAAGAAACGAAGCGGGAAUCGCAAUUUGAAAUUGACAGUUGUGGCUGAAAUUAUUGGGCGAAAAUUAGCUUUCUUUUCUCUCUUUGGCUGCUGAAAACUUUCUUUUGUGAUGGUGAAUAAGACCUAAAAAGAUCAAUAUAUAUGCCCCAUAGUAAUGGGCCUAUAGAAAAAAGUAGAUUGGUCCAAAUUGGGCUUCAUUUAUCCACAUAGGAAGGAAAAAAGACCCAAUAACCCAACAAUUCUCCUCCUCCCAACUAUGUGGAGGAGACCGUCAUCCCGGUGAUUUUAUAAAUGGUAUUAUUUUAUCCUUACCUUGAGAUCAUGCUAGUUGUCACUCAUUAACCUCGUCUACUGGCGGCUGUAUAGCCACGCUAUGCAGUAACUAAUCAUUCUACUCCAUCUACAUAGUGAUUGAGUCGAGGAUAGUAUUUGUAUUGAAGUGGUGAGCUUUUAUCCUUUUGGAAGGCUCUAUUUCAUGUUAUGGAUAUUUCUAGACAUUUUGGUUUUAUUUUGGAUAUUGGUUUUGGCUAUGGUUGGGAGCAUACCCCAACCGAAUUUUAUUACUCUUUUGGUUAAAGGCUUUAUGGUACUUCUAUGGGUUGGAAUGGGCAGGACCGGUAUAGGUGUCAGCCUUGGCAUUGGAAUAGGUUGGGAGGCUGGUAUCAUCAGACAUAAUUUCUCACUAUUCCAUCAUAUUAUAUUUUGGUAUUAAUUAUAUUAUGUUUUGGAAUGUCUUUGGUUAUAACCUGGUUUAUGGCCUUGUUUGGUAUGGUUGGAUUAUUAUUGGAUGGUUGGACUCAAUUGGGUUGGUCACAGUUGUGAUCUAUUCCAAUAGUUUUUAUGUGGGUUGUUAUACUAUUUUGCUACAUGCUCGAAAUUCAGCCAACUAAAAAAAAGUGACUGGUGGCUUGGGUAACGGGGGUGGUCUUCGGUCCUGGUCGUACUUGAGAUGCCCAUUAUGAUAAGGCCCCAGGGCGAUUUAUAUUAAGUUGCUAUCAGAGCCUAUGUUCAUGGUUAAUUGGGAGUCCACAAAGCCAUGUCGAAUAGAGUCUCUUUUAGGGGAGUAUAGCAUGUCACACUCAUAAGAAAGAGGCUACAAAGCAUUUAGGAAUGUUUCACAUUCUUGGUACUCAAUUUUCAAACUUGGAGUCUCAGUCCUAGAAUCUUAUCUAAUCCUUGUUUGUUCGUCUUUCAGAUCAUGCCUCAGAGAUCUGAAACACAAAAAAAUUCUUCUAUCCCAUCUGGGUGUAAUGCUAUAAGGGUGCAUCCUACUUUUGGGGUUUAUCUUUGAUCUCACGGUCCUAUCCCCGAUAGUUUUAGAGUUCUACUAGUUGCUACUAGUCCUCCUCAAGGUGACAUGCCUAAUGCAGAAUUUUGUCAGUUUAAUUAUGCUAUUGCAAAAUUGGUUGCUGCUCAGGCUGAGUGGGAUGUGUCUGGUGCUUUAUCUGCCGAGGCCACAAGGGGUGGCCAAUUUAUGAAGAUAGGUCCUCCUAUUUUUUUGGAGUAAAUAUAGAGAAGGAUCUACAGGGAUUCUUGGAUGAGAUGAAGGGGGUAAACUUUGCAACUUAUUAGCUCAAAGAUGUUACAUAUCAGUGGAAUAAAGAGUGGGAUAGGGAUAGAAGAGAUGUGGAAGAGUGAUCAUUGUGGGAUGCCUUCUCUAGUGCUUUUUUGGAUUGUUUCUUUCCUCAAGAGUUGGCAGAAGCAAAUAUGAAGGAGUUUAUGAACCUCAAGUAGGGAUUAAUGUUUUUCAAGGAAUAUGCCUUGAAGUUUUACAAAUUAUUAAGGUAUGCUUCUGAUUUGGUGGCUGACAUGUGGGCUAGAAUUAGGAAGUUAGCUUCUGGGUUAAAUCGACAUUUGAUUUUAGAGAGCAAGACUACCUUUAUAAUUAAGGAUAUGGACAUCUCUAGGUUAACUAUUCAUAGACAACAGGUAGAGAAUGAGAAGAGAAAGCAGGCAGAGUUUAGGGAUAGGCAGGGUAAGAUGAGCAGGUUUUCUGAUUAGGGAGGUGCUCAAUCUCAGGGUGGUCGAAUGAUGGCAAAUGGAAGAAAAAGAAGUGGGGGAUUUUUGGUUUCGACUUUUCUUCUAGUGCUCCUUAUCAGUCUGGCGACAUGCGUCAUUAUGGUGACAAUUUUUGGGCAUAAGGAGCCCAAUCUUAGGCAAGCAGAGGCCAGUCAGUUUCUUUAUGCCCUCCUUGUCGAUUCUGUGGUCGUCCUUAUUGGAUUUAUUGCGGUAAAGGAAAGGACAAAUGCUUCGAGUAUGGCCAGGAAGGCCAUCGACUCGGGGAUUUUCCAAUUAGUAAGGUUGCUACAUGAGUAAAUAAAAUUCUUGUGGCUUCAUCUUCUGCUCCUACACUUGGUGGUAUUGCAUCUAUUUCUGUUACUGCUCCUGGUUCUAGUGUUGGUCAGAACAGGUUGUAUGCUUUGGCAUCCCGAUAGAAAUUUGAGGUAUCACCUGAUGUCGUUACUGGUACGUUAUAAAUUUUCUCUCAUAAUGUAUAUUGUUUGCUUAAUUCAAGGUUCACUCUCUCCUAUGUGACUCAUUAUAUGGUUGUAUCUUUUGGUUUUUAUCUGAAAGCUGGUUUGGAUCUGUUUUCUAGUUCUACCCCAGUAGGUAACUCGGUUAUUGCUAAGAGAGUCUAUAGGGGGUGGUAUCUGUUGGUGGCAAGCAGACCUUGGUGGAUCUGUUUGAGUUAGAUAUGAUUGAUUUUAAUGUUAUUCUGGUAUGGAUUGGUUACAUUUUUGUUAUACGUCUUUGGAUUGUCAAACCAGUAGGGUUAUAUUUAGGUUCCCUGGUGAGCUGGUUAUUGAAUGAGAGGGUGUUUCUUUAGCUCCUAGGGGGAGGUUUAUUUCUUAUCUAAGAACUCAGAGUUUGAUCUUUAAAGGUAGUCUUUAUCACAUGGUUUGGGUUAAAGAAUCUAACUUGGAAGGUCUUUCUUUUUAGUCAGUUCCUAUGGUUAAUGAGUUUCCAGAGGUUUUUUCGGAUGAUCUUCCUGGUAUUUCUCUAGAUACGAAAAUAGAGGUUAGAGUUGAUCUAAUUUUAGACACUCUUCCAAUUUCUAUUCCUCCGUAUAGAAUGGCUCCGGCUGAGUUGAGGGAACUCAAGAAGAAACUUAAGGAUCUUCUAGAUAAAGGGUUUAUUCUUCCUAGUGUAUCUCCUUGGGGGGCACCAGUAGUGUUUGUGCGCAAGAAGGAUGGUUCCCUUUGGAUGUGCAUUGACUAUAAGCAGCUAAACAAAGUGACAGUCAAGAACAAGUAUCCUCUUCCAAGGACAGAUGAUUUGUUUGACCAGUUUCAAGGUGCCAAGUUCUUUUCUAAGAUAGGUCUUCAGUCUAGGUACCAUCAACUAAAGAUUAGGUAGGUGGAUAUCCCUAAGACGGAUUUUCAUACUCGAUAUGGGCACUUUUAGUUUUUGGUGAUAUCAUUUGGGUUGACUAAUACUCCAACGACAUUUAUGGGUUUGAUGAACAGAGUAUUUUGUCAGUAUUUGGAUCUCUUUGUUAUUGUGUUCAUUGUUAACAUCCUGGUUUAUUCAAAGAGUGAGGUAGAUUAUUUAAAUCACUUUUUUUGGUGUUGUAGACCUUAAAGAAACAAUAGUUGUAUGACAAGUUCUCCAUGUGUGAGUUUUGGUUAAACGUUGUAACUUUCUUGGUUCGUAGUGAAGGGAUUAUUGUGGAUUCGUAGAAGGUUGUUGUAGUGAAGAGGUGGACUAGACCUAUGACUUCAACUAAUAUUCGAAGCUUCUAGGGUUUAGCCAAGUAUUACAGGCAGUUUGUGGAAAACUUUUCAUCGAUAGUUGCUCCCUUUGACUAAGUUAACACAGAAGAAGGUUAAGUUUUCUUGGUCAGAUGUUUGUGAAGGGAGUUUUGAGAAGUUGAAGGAUAAGUUAACUUUGGCUCCAAUUUUGACUUUUCUGGAAGGCAAAGAUGGGUUUGUGGUUUACUACGAUGCAUCUCGGGUAGGGCUUAGUUGUGUGUUGAUGUAGCAUGGAAAGGUGAUUGCCUAUGCUUCCAAGCAGUUAAAGGUACAUGAGAGGAAUUAUCCUACUCAUUAUUUGGAGCUGUUGGCGGUUGUGUUUGCUUUGAAAAUAUGGCAGCAUUAUUUGUAUGGUGUUCAUGUGGACAUCUUUUCUGAUCAUAAGAGUUUACAAUAUGUGUUCACUCAAAAAAAUCUUACGAUCAGGCAGAGGAGAUAGCUUGAACUUCUCAAAAAUUAUGAUAUGAGUCUUCACUAUCACCUAGGUAAGGCUAAUAUAGUUGCUGAUGCUCUUAGCAGGUUAUCCAUGGGGAGUUUGGCUCAUGUAGAGAAAGAAAAGUAGGAAUUAGUGAAGGAUAUUCACCGUUUGGAUAAGCUGGGAGUUCGCAUUUUAGACUCCAAAGAUGGUGUUGUAAUAGUGCAAUAAGUUCUUUGAUCAUUUCUUGGUGCGUGGAUUAAGGAGAAGCAAGUGUUACAUCCUAUCUUGAUGAAAAUCAAGAGUGUCAUUUGUGAGCAAAAGGUAGUGGUGAUGGUACAUUACGGUACCAAGGAAGGUUAUGUGUUCCUGUAGAAGAUCUAUUGGUGGAAUGGUAUGAAGUGGGAUGUGGCUGAUUUUGUGGACAAGCACAUGGUGUGUCAACUGGUUAAGGUUGAGCAUAUAAGGCUAGAAGGGUUGUAUCAAGAAAUUGAUUUUUCUGAAUAGAAGUGAGAAGUGAUCAAUAUAGACUUUGUUACUGGUCUUCCUCGGUCUCGGAGUCAAUAUGAUUUGAUUUGGGUCAUUGUGGAUAGGAUGACUAAGUCUGUACACUUUUUGCCAUGUGGACUACCUUCUCGGUGGAGGAUUAUGUGAAGUUGUAUCUUCAGGAGAUUAUGAAGCUGCAUGGGGUGCCUAUUUUGAUUAUGUUUUAUCGUGGCACGCAGUUUACUUCUUACUUCUUAUGGUUUUUUUAGAGAGGGUUAAGGACCAAGGUGAGUCUGAAUACUAUUUUUCAUUUACAGACGAAUGGGAAAGCAGAAAGAACUAUUCAGACAUUGAAGGAUAUGCUUUGGGCCUAUGAGAUUUAUUAUGAUGGCAAUUGGGUUGAGCAUCUACCUAUGGUGGAGUUUGCUUACAACAAUAGUUAUCAUUCUAGUAUUGGUAUGACCUCUUUUGAAUCAUUGUAUGGUAGAAGGUAUAGAUCUCCUAUUGGUUCAUUUGAGCUUGGUGACGCGGAUAUGUUUGGUCCCGACUUGGUUUACCAGGCUAUGGAGAAGGUGAAGGUGAUUCGAGAUAGGCUUAAGGCUGCUCAAAGUCACCAAAAGUCCUAUGAAAAUGUUAGGCGUAGAGACUUGGAUUUUGAGGUUAGGGAUAAGAUUUUCCUCAAGGUAUCUCCUAUGAAGGGAGUGGUGCGGUUUGGCAAGAAAAGGAAGCUCAAUCCCCGGUAUAGGGGUCCUUAUGAGAUUUUACGAAAAAUUGACAAUAUUGCUUAUGAGUUGGAGUUGUCUUCUAGCUUAAGUUUGGUUCAUCUGAUCUUUCAUGUUUCCAUGUUGAGUAAGUGCAUUGGUAAUCCUUCUUCUAUUAUUCCUUUGGAAGGAUUGGAUCUCGCUGAUUCUUUGUCUUAUGAAGAAGUCCCGGUUGAGAUCUUGGAUAGGCAGGCUCGUCAGUUGCGGACCAAGGAUGUGGAUUCGGUUAAGGUUCUUUGGUAGAACCAUAAGGUGGAAGAAGCUACUUGGGAAGUGGAAAAGGACAUGAAGUCCAAAUAUCCGUAUUUGUUUUCUGCUCAUAGGAUUCGUGCGAAAGGCAUGUGUCUUCAACACAUCUUUAUUUUUAGAUUUUAUUAAAGGAAAGAUUUAUAUCUUUGCCUCUUUAUUUUUGAACUUUGUUGAAGAUUUAAAAUAUGUUUGAUAACAUAAUGCAAAUGACUCUAGCGUGUGGUUAACCCUACUUUGUCCGUCAUUUAGGGACUAAUGUUCUUAGUAGGGGAGACUGAAACACCUUAGUUUUUGGACCUUAGAAAAUUUCCUGGAAUUCUGAUCUCUGGACCCAAUAUGACUCAUGGGUACAAGCCAUAUAUUAGGGUACGGAUGGUAUGGUCCGAUCGUAUAUUGACCAGUAUUAGUUGGUGGGAUGGAUUUUGGUUACUGGAAUGAAAAUGACUUAGGGGUACGAGUCGUAUUGGUGGUUACGGAUUAUUUGGUUCCUUAACUUAAUCUUGACUUAGUUACUUAGGUUGGACCUAAGUACAAGUGGCUCACCAUGAGCCGUAGGCUAGGGUAGGAAUUGUACCAGGGACUCAUGGAUACGAAUCAUAUGUUGAGGUUACAACUUGGUUGGAUGAGUCAUAUACUAGAUAGUGUUUGGUCCAAGGGUGGAGGUUCAGGAUACGGGUGGUGGAUACCGAUCGUAUCGGAGGGUACAACUCGUAAGGGUCAGUCAUAUCCCUGUGAAGGGAUUCUUGUGUAACUUAAGUGGGGUUAUUCUAGACAUUUCCCCCCUAUCCUAAUAGGGUACCACAACUUCUAACUUACUUGGAAGGCUAUUUACCCUAUUAUUCAAUUCAUUAACACUUAGAAACUCUUCCUAAAUACUCCAUAAUUCUCUCAAGAGCUUUUGGGCAAGGGGGUCUAGGGAUUCAACUAAGGGAUCAAUUUAGGGCUUGUCUUGGUGAUUUUUUUCUGUCAUCAUCUUAGUUUAAGGCAUGUUCUCUUUCCUCAUUGUUAAUUUUACUUAAACACAUGGUUUAUAUGAAUGUUUUCAUGGUUUUACUAUUACAUGAUUUUGGCUUUCAAAUAUAAUUUGGGGGUUUUGAUGUUAAAUGGUUGGUUAUGGUUUCCCAAUGUUUUAAUUAUGCUUUUAUAUGCAUAAUGGUGGUUUUGGAUAAUUGGAUUGAAUGGAAUUGGUUUGGUAAUUAGAAUUGGUUUUGGUCAUAGUAUGCCCCCAAUGUGUUAGACAAAAUGCUUAUAAAGAUAUGUUCAUUGCGUUGAAUUCUUUUAAUGGAACUCUUACAUGUUUUAAACUUGGUAAAGGAAUUAUGCAUGGUUUAAAUGGUUUGCAAAGGCUAAUUGGCUAUGCUUAUGGGGAACAUUAAAGUCUUUCUAGUAGUUUAAUAUGGUAAAUAUAAGGGAACUUGAAAGUCCCCUUACACCUAUAAAUGGUUGGAUAUGGAUGAUACUUGCAAGUAAGGGUUGGUAUGAUGAUACCAAUAUCAAUGGCAUUGGUUAAUAAAUCGAUAAUGAUUUGGUUAUUUGGUAAUUGGUUUUAAUUGAGCAGUAAUGGCGGGAUGUGUAAAAAAAUUAUGGAAGGUAGAGGUCCCGGGGGACCAAAACUGGAAACUUAUAUUUGCCGAUAUGAGGUUGGUCUUGGUGGCCGUGUGCAUGAUGUCACACUUUAUUUUGGGGAUGUACUAGUCAUCCCAUGGGAUAUUUCCCUGGCAUACAGCUACAUGCACUGAGCCCUUUCAGCAGGGGAAGCUGAAUCCAUAUAGCCCGUGGGUGGUUUAGGACGGCAAAGCUACACAGCCCAGGCAAAGGUUUUAAAGACAUGAUAAACCCAGUCCUUUUUUGGCAUGGUUAUAUAUAUAUAUAUGUGUGUGUGUGUGUGUGUGUGUGUGUGUGUGUAUGUUUGGUUGUGUGCAUAUGGAUGGAUUUACUUGGUUUUAUAAAUGACAUUAUUUUAUUCUUACCGUGAGAUAAUGCUAACGUUCACUCGCUAACCCCGUCUACUGGUGGCUGUAUACACACGCUAUGUAGGAACCGGCCGUUCUACUCCUCCUACAUAGUGAUUGACUUGGGGACAGCAUUUGGACUGAAGUGGUGAGCUUCCAUCCUUUCGAAAGGCUCCAUUUCAUGUCAUGGAUAUUUCUAGACAUUUUGGUUUUAUUUUCGAUAUUGGUUUUGGCUAAGGUUGGGGGCAUGCUCCAACCGAAUUUUAUUACUCUUUUUGUUAGAGGAUUUAUGGUACUUCUAUGGGUUGGAAUGGGUGGGAUCGGUAUAUGUGUCAGCCUUGGCAUUGGAAUAGGCUGGGAGGCUGUCAUCAUCAUACAUAAUUUUUCACUAUUCCAUCAUAUUACAUUUUGGGAUUAAUUAUAUUAUGUUUUGGAACAUCUUUGGUUAUGGCCUGAUUUAGGCCUUGUUUGGUAUGGUUGGAUUAUUAUGGGAUGGUUGGACUCAAUUGGGUUAGUCACGGUUGUAAUCUAUUCCCAGGGUCUUUGUGUAGGUUGUUACACUAUUUUAUUACACGCUCGGAAUUCAACCAACUCCAGGCAGGUGACUGGAAGUUGGUUGGGUAACGGGGGUGGUCUCUGAUCCUGGUCGGACUUGGGACGCCUAUUACAACAAGGCCCUAGGGCAGGUCAUGUCAUUCAGCUAUAGCUUGUACUGUGACAUCCACCUGGAAAGACAAAAUUGUCAGUGCUAAUCACAGAGAUACAAAAAGAGGAAAAAGAUAAUUUAUCAAUUGAAGUAAAUCAAACAGGUCUCCCUACUAUUUUAAUUUCUUCCAACAGAUGACCCAUCUGUCGCAACAUAUAGGUCAUCUAUUGGGACAAAUUAAAAUAAGAGGAAGACCUGAAUGACAAUUACAAAUAGAUAACUCAUCUGCUGAAAUAGAUGACUCGUUUGUUGGAACAAAUUAAAAUAGUAGGGAAGUCUUGAUGUAAUUUGUCCCAACAGAUUACCCAUCUGUUGAAACAUAUAGGUCAUUUGUUGGGAAAAAUAAAAUAGUUGGAAACUUAUUUGAUUUUCUCCAACAGAUGAGACAUUCAUUGCAAUAUAUAAUGCAUCUGAUACAACGGGUUAGUCAUCUGUUGCAACAGAUCUCUAUAUCUAUUGCAACAAAUGUCUAUAUCUGUUUGAUAAUUUUUAGUAGAUGUCAUCUGUUGAAACAGAUCUGUAGUCUAUUUGUUUGUUUGAGAAAAUGAUAAAUAUUCACCUUCUUUAGCUCAUGUUGCUCUCCUGUGUCCCUCGUACAUUGCUCAAAAGUACAAGACAAAGACAAAGGAGUUACAAUUUUGCUCUUUUUGAUGCUUGAUAAUGCCUUGGAAAUUUCUUUCCUUUUCCUCUUAGCCGCCUUAAUAUCUAAUGGAGUGUAUGGAUAUGAAAUCAUCUUUGAUAGAAUGACACCCCUCCUAGAUGUCAAUUUCUUUACAGAAAUAGUUAAUCCAUUAAAAGCAUUAAUCAUUCCAUUAUGUUUCGUCUUGCAAUUUUAACAUUUGCAAGCACAAUAUUCGCUAGGAGGGGAAAAAUCAGUAAAACCAAUACGAUCAUAAUCAUAAUGGUUUGUUGUUUCAAAAACUGCAAGAGGAGCAUCAUUAUCCCCAACAGCAACACCCCUCUCACUCCCACUACCACCACGAUUAACUCCAUCACCACUAACACCAUCAAUAACAACAAACUCACCCUCCAAAAUUAUUUUUCUUAUGAUGGUUGUUGCUCCAAGCAAUUUCUUUUUAUUCUAUCAAUGAUCAUAGGGUCCGAUAAAAUUUACAUAGGCCAUAAAGUAAGAAAAAAUAACAUCUUCAACUCUCGAUUAGUCAGAACAAACCACGGAUGCACAAUCUAAAAAAAAUCAGUACACAUAUUAGAAUGAUGAUUAAAUAAUUUUAAAAAAUCAUUAAUUAAAACCAAAAACUUAAUUAGAAUCAGACUUACUGCUUCCUUCGGGGGGUGAAGAGAUCAAGAAAUUUUAUUUUUUAUCAGCUUUGGCCGACAACCAUCUCAGGAUUCUUGGACGUGAAAUUUCUUUCUGGUAGUUCACUUGUUGUCUUAAAUAAGGAAUGACUUUAAAUUCCCAAUCCUAAAAAAUAACGUCAAUAAAUCAAAAGCAUUAUUCGAUAAAAAAUAAAUGAAUCAUAAUAAAAUAAAUAUUUACCAUGAAAGCCCAUGAAAAGCCAUAUAAGUUGACUGUCUUUGGAGUUGAUGGGGUCAACAAAUGUUUAACAGUCAUUUUGAAGCUUUCAUAACCUUAAGGAUAGUUGUUAAAUGCCUUAAGAUCCUUGGAGAGCUUUAUUUAAUCAAAUGGUGUUUUGUUGUUAACGUCUUUCGCCCAAAGAAUAUUAUGUACAAAUCAAACCAAGCACAAUGAUUGUUUGUGCUUCUUUGAAAGUCUUUUAUCUUUCAACACUUCUAUCAAACUUUUAUUUUUAAAGCCUCGGCCAACAAGGGACACUAAGUCAUCACCAUCACUUGACUUGCCUUUGUCUUUUCUGGGUUAGAAUAGGUAUAAGUUGAGAAGGAGAAGGAGGAUAACAUUUUAGUCCAGUAACUAUGGCAAACUCCCUCCAAUCAAAACAAAUAGACAUGCCAUAAUAAUUUAUCCAUACCUCAUCCAUCUUAUCUUUAUUUUCAUACAUAAACCUAUGCUUGAGAAGAUCAUAUACCAAGGUUAUUUGAAAAUGAGAAUUGUUGUCCUCCGACAAAUCAAGAUAUUACCCAAAGUAGUUGUCCCUGAAAUAACAUCCAAUUUUUGGUCUCGAAGUAUUUUUUUAUGGUGUCAAAAGAUUUUUCCAUGGAUGACUUAACCACGAAAUCACCAGUUAAAUUUAUGGUACUAUCGCACUGCAUUUUCACAAGAUAACUAUCAAUGCUGAAGGUUUUGACCAACUUUUCAGUGGAAGGGCUAUUAGCAUUUGGGUCAUCUCUUUUGAAACAUUCCUCAUCCCCAAGUUCAUUAUUUUUUACUUUUGAUUGAGAUAUCACUUGUAAAGCAAGCUCAUAGAGUGGUGGAUGUAGCCUAGCUGCUUCACUUGUUCCUUUACUUAGACUUGAUUUGGUUUCUUUUCUUUUGAGAGUCAUAUGAUCUAAAAAACAAGAAAAUAAAAAAGAUUGUAAUUGAUUAAUGCAUCGUUAAAAAAAUAACAAUAAAUUAACAUGUACAACACAAUAAAAUAACAGUUCCAACAUAUCACUAAUCUGUUGCAAUAUGUGGGUUAUCUGUUACAACAUAUAAUUACCUAUUGCAACGGAUAAAUAAUCUGUUGGAAACAAUAAAAACAAUUUCAAUACUAUUGUGAUAUCUUCCAACAUAUCACUCAUCUAUUGAAACAGAUGGCUGGCUUGCGCAAUAGAUCAUUCAUCUAUUAUAACAUAUAAGUGAUCUAUUGGAACUGUUAUUAACUAUUAAUAUUGUUUAGAUUUCUUCUAAUAGAAAGGUCAUCUGACGCAACAAAUGAAUGAUCUAUUGGAAGAAAUCAAAGUCUUGGACAUGUACUGUUGGAAUAGUUGAUAGGAAUUCAUCCAACAGAUGGUUCAUUAGUUGCAUCAGAUGGUUUAUCUAUUGCAUUAGAUGGUAAAUCUGUUGGAUUAAAUGGUUAAUCUGUUGCAUCAGAUGGUUAAUCUAUUGCAUCAGAUAAUUAAUCUGUUGCAAAAAAACCAGUAGCAAGUUUUUGUUUAAUAGAACAACAGUAAUAUCACCAUUUAAUAUCAAAUACACCAUUUUACCAAGAACAACAACAAAUCAACCCAGCAACACCAACACAACACAUGCACAACAUACACACCAAGAACAUUAACAAUGACUAAAAUCAUUAUUGUUUUGUUUGUACAAACACAAACAACAAAAAUUAAACUUCAAAAAACACAACAGACACCAACAAAUCGAAUCAACGAUUCGACAAUAAGAACUAUAAUAACAAAAAAAUUAUAUUUCACUCCGAAAAGAGAAGAGAAGAAAUAUCAGAAAUUGAGAUUUUCUUGAGUCCCAUUUCAAAUUUAAGCAACAAAUAUUGAAAUUAUUAAUCAAUACUAGAAGAGAAGUUGUCUCAAGUUCUUUUUCUUCAUAACUAAAAAGCCAUAAUUUUUUACCUUUGAAAGACGAAAAGGGACGAUGAAGAACUCAAAGUUGUAGUCGCUGAAGAGCAAUGUUGUCACGUUGAUUGAUGGUUGGAAGUCGAAAAGAAACUCAAAUCCCAACUAUUUGUGAGCAGAGGUUGAAGUCGCUCGAGGAUUGAAGGAAGAAUUUUGCAGAAUUGUUGGUGGGAGAAGUUUGAGAGAAACUAUCAAGAGAGAUGGGAGAGAGGAGAGAAACAGUUGAUUUGGAUAGGAGAGGGGUGUGAGUUGAUUUGUAUUUUUUAAAAGAUUAAAAAAGUUUUAAAAAAAUUAAUCAAGUAUACAAUUAACUUAAUCAAGUUUCCUAAUUAUGUUUGAUCCUUUAAGUUGGUCAAUGUCAUCAAUCCUUCAUUCAAGACUUAAAAGACAUCUUUUCUUCAAUUUUCUCCACUUAGUUACUUCCUUCGAUCACUUUUACUUGUUAUUAUUUUGCUUCUUGUGGUUAAACUGCAUGAACUUUGAUCAACAUUUUAAAAUUUAUUAUUUCAUCAUAUUAACAUGAAAAAAAUUAUAAUUUAUAAUAUUUUUCGUAUUAUUUUCAGUCAUCUAAAUUUUAAGUUUAAAAUAUUAAAUAAAUCAGAAAAAUUAUUUAGACUUAAAAUACCAAAAAAAAAAAAGGACAGCAAGAAGAAUGAUAUAAAAAUAAUAAUAAAGAAAUAAUACCCAAAAAAAUUUGUGCAAAGGAUAAUUUGUAAAAGAAAAAUAAAAUAAGAAGAGUAGAGUAGGUAUUUGAGAAAUGAGGCCUAAUAAGUUUGCUCGGCAGAAAUUUAAAUGCCUCAUACACGUAUUACGUGAAACUAGUUUUCGUGUACGCGUCUUAUGCGUGUAUCUCACUUUAAUGAGUUUAAAUAUUACACUAAAUAGGAUAUUUGUUUAAAUAAUAAAAAUGAACAUAAUAAUUAAAUUUAAUAUCUUUUGAGUAUGUAAAGAUGGAGAAUUUAUUUAUUAAACCUAAUCUUUAACAAAAAUAUUUUUAAAAGUCGAUCGAUAUUCAUCUACCAUCUGUAAAUUGCAACAAAAUAAUACAAUGAUAGAGACUUCAAAAUAAUACAAUUAAGUCUAAUCUUUACACAUAAAAUUUUUCUCAAAGUCGUCUGACACUCAUCUUACACCUGUAAACAAUAACAAAAUAAUACGAUAAUAGAGAUAUCAAAAUAAUACAACUAAACCUAACUUUUACAUAGAAAAAAUCCUCAAAGUCGACCAACAUUUAUCUAUCACCCAACAUUUGUCUAUCACCUGUAUAUUGCAACAAAAUAAUACGAUAAAAGUUAUAUCAAAACAAUACAAUUAAACAUAAAUUUUACACACAAAAAAUCUCAAGCCGAUCGAGAUUCAUCUAUGAACUGUAAACUACCACAAAAUAACAAAUUAAUAGAGAUAUUACGAUAAUACAAUUAAACCUACCCUUCACCUAAAAAAAAUUUUCAAAGCCGACCUACAUUUAUCUAGCAUCUGUAAAUUAAAAUAAAAUAAUAAGAGAAUAAAGAUAUCAAAACAAUACAAUCAAACCUGACCUUUACACAAGAAAUUAUUCAAAGCCAUCCGACAUUCAUCCACGACCUGUAAACUAUACAAAAAAUAUAAUAGUGAUCACAAAGUUUCGAUUUUGAUCCAACUAGUUCUUGUCUGAGUGAAAAUUUUGACCCUAAAGAAUGAUUUUAAAUGAAAACAAAGAAGAUAUAUAUAUAUAUAAACACAUGUUGAAUUCUAUUAUGCUGACAAAUACAAUGAAGAAGUUGAGGAUUAGAAAAUCAAGCAUUCACCAAUCUAGACAUGCAGUUGAAUCAAGUUAGAUGAGCAUCAAUCAUAUUCUCCCAAUAGGAAAAUCGAUUUGUUCUCUAGUUUAACAUACAUCUCAAUAUUUAUAGAAGUAUUUCCUUAAUAGUGUCCUAUUUUAAGAGUAUUUUUCUAAUUGAACAGUAGAAAAGAAAAUAUUAAUAAUUCUCCUACCAUUUAUUUUAGGAGUCUCAUAUAUUUUAGGAAGUCUAGUAGAAAGGAAAAUAUUAAUUAAUUCUUCUAUCAUAUAUUUUAGGAGUCUCAUAUAUUUUAGGAAGUCUAGUUAAUAUAAUAAAAAAUAAUUAAAUAAUAAAUUUAAAAAAAUUGUGACAAGACAGUUUUAUCUAAAAAAGAGUCUUUUAAUGAAGAGCAAAAAGUUCAAAUCAUUUUUCUAACCAUCUUCACACUUUUAAUAUAUUAUAGAUUAUAAAUAUGAGACUUUUACAUAAUUAUUUGAUUGAAUUGAGAGAUGGGCCAAAUAAAUCCACUUGUCAUCUAUAAAAAGUAUUGAUUAAAGUAAAAUUUGUAAUUUUAAAAUAAGAUAGUUGGAUGCACUAAAACUUUUACUAUACACAGUGUUUGGUGAAGGAUCGAAUCACAAUGGUUUAUUCUACGCAAUUUUACUAAUAAGGUGGAAGCUCAAGUAAUCAACUAACUAAUCUACUAAGAUUUCUUUUAUCAAUAAAGCGAAAUUCAAGUAACCAAUCAAUUGAUCUACUAAGAUUUCCUAGCUGAAAUGAGUCUUAAAAUACAAAUGGAGUCAUUUGGUAAGAGAUAUUAGAGGAAAUAAUACAUGUAUUAACUUUGGUAUAUUCAAUCUUUUUAUUUGUUAAUAUUUUCAAUCUAAGUAUGACUAGUACAUGUUAUACAUACUAAAUCAUGACAUUAUCAACAAUACAUAGUACUAUAUCUAUUCUAAUACACUCUAUUCAAUACUAUUUAUAUUCAUCUAAUACGCCAAACUAAAUAGUUUAUAAGAAAUAAUGUCACCAAUAUAUAUACUAAUACACUAUAUUCAUUAUUAUUCAUAUACACCCUAUCAAACUAAUCAAAAUCUUUUGUGUUAAUUGUCGUAACUUAUAAAAGUUAUAAGUUAGUGUUUAAUUUUAUUAAAAACAAAAUAGAAAAGACAAUUUAUUACAAAGUGUGAUCUUCAUUAUAAUUUGUUAUCAUGCUCAGUGAAAAAUAUUGACGAUAUGAUUAAGUUAAACUUUAGUUUUGAAAAAUUAUUUUAAAUAUCUUUUUGCGAUGAAAUUUGGAUAGAUUUAAAAAAUUUAAUUGCUAAAUAUUUUUCAAGUUCUUAAAAAUUAGCUCAGAUUAAUUUUUGAUUCAUUAGAAGUUCACUCACAAAAUAUUAAAUUUUUUCAAGUAAAUUAUACAUGUUACCAUAGUUCAAAUUUCAAACAUCAUAAGUUUAAAAAUUUAGAUUUCAUAUUUCAACUUCAAAAGUGAUCAAGUUCAUUUUCUCAAUUAUAGGUAUUUGAUUAAUAUCAAUUGUGAAAAACCAAUAAUAUUAAAGUUAAUACUUAUCAUUAAGAAAUUAGAGAUUAGCCAAUAUUAUUUCUAAACUAUAACCGAGGUUGAUAUAACACGCCCAAGCUUCAUCAAGGGUUCUAUUAUCCCCUAACUCAAUUUUAUUGUAUUUUUAUUCACUUUUUGUGGUUAUGUGACAUAAAAGUGCAUGUUUUUAAAAGCAUAUCAUUUAAUUGGACCAAGGUGUCACACUAGCACAAAAGAUGAAUAAAAAUACAGUAAAAUUGAGUUUAAAGAAAGAGGUCAUAGAAUUACCGUAAAUUUAGGUGUAUCAUAACAAUUUUUACUAUAAUUUGGAGAAGUAAUAACGCCUUAUCUCAAGUAAUUACAUAAAAUAAUAAUAAUAAUAAUAAUUAAACUUAAAUUUUUGAAUAUAAUUAAUACAAUUAAUAUUAUAUUAUAUUGUACUUUGUACUUUUAUAUAAGAGAGGAUCUUGACAUUUUGACAGUCCUCAUAAAGGCCUAUUAAUUUCUUUUUAUAAAUAAAAAUUAUUAUACAUGAUAGUUAAUAAUGUCUUUUUAUUACAUAUUUUCAUUUUUGCCCUUAUUCUUUUUACUAAGGUCAUUUCACUUGAAUUUUUAUAAUUGAUCAUUUCUUGCCACUUGUUAGAUGUCUAUUUAGUUAAACCUCCCUUCAUUUAAGUCAACAAUCACUUUAACUUAAAAAAAAUUCAAGCUAACUUUUAAUGCAAAAUAAAAGUUUGCAGUGAUUUUCAACAACAACCUCAUACAUAGUUCUUUUUUAUAUUAGCCAGUUAUCAAAAUACAUAAUUAAAAUGAAAUGAAUAGAGUACUCUUGUAAAGGCGUGAGAGAAAUAAACGUAAUAAGCAAAUGGACUAAAAUAAUUUAUUAUGUAGUUUAAUUUUCAUUCGAUAUCCUUAUAGAUCAUAUUUUAGUUAAUUUUUACAAAGGCUCUAAAUUAAGGUUAUGAUUAUUAUAAUAUAAACUUGAAAUCAAUGAUUUUUUUUAGAUGAUUCUAUUCAUGUAAAAAAAAAAUAUUUUGUAAAAAUUAUUGCCACUAAAAUUAUGAGCGGAAGUUAAAACGCAAUAAAUAUAAAAAUAAAUUUGUUUUUAGCUAAAAUUAAGAAAUUACAUACUAGCAAAUUUAUAAAAGUAUCAAUACUUUUUUUAUUUAUGAUCUUCAUUGAAGCGUAAUUAUUAAAUAUUUUAAAUCAUAUCAUUAAACUCGUAUAAAAUAUCAAGUUACUUGUAGCCUUUUGAUAUAUUGUAAUUCUCCGGUGAUACUUAGCCUUUUGAUAUAUUGUAAUUCUCCGGUGAUACUUUCUUUCUCACAAAUAAUAUUUUAUUUAAAAUUAUCUAAUUAUGUUAUUAACAACUUUAAUAAUUAUAAAAACUUAUCAACAAGACUUGUUUAACAUAUUAUUAGAUUAUACUGAUUAUAAAGUAAAAGAAUACGUAUAAUACAAAUUAUAAUUUUAAAUUAAAAUUAUUAUAUUUUAUACGUUGAGUUUGAAUCCGAGUUUAGUGUGGGUCUCGUGAAACUAGUACUUAUAUAUAAGGAAGGAUAAAAAGUUUUGAUAAUCCUCAUAAAUUUUUUUAUACUUUCAUGUUACUUCAUGUGGCUCUUUCUUUUGUCUUCCCUAUUUUUCUUUUACAAUUAUUUUUUGUGUGUUUUCCUUAUUUUUUUUACACUCAAUUUUUGUAAGUUUACUUUUAUAUGCAUAAUGUAUCUUGAGUCUUUUAAAACUUAAAAUUUUAAAUAUAAUUAAUAAAAUUAAUAUUAUAUUAUAUAACUAUAAUUAGUAAAGAUCCAUUAUUUUCAUGGGGUAUAAUACAUAAAUAUGCUUUUUAAUUUAAUUUCAAAUUAUGUUUAUAACUUUUAAUUUUGAGUGGAGGUAAGUAAACUCUUAAAUUUGUAUAAAAUUUAGAAAAAAAAUACACAUCCUGUAUAAUAAUACACAUCACAAAAAUUAGUCACGUUCUACUCACAAUUUUUAUCAGAGGGUCCACAUAUAAUGUUUCAGUUUUGUUUACACUUUACGCGCAGACAGUGGUGGGCUGCUGUUAUUGACCUUUCAACUUGCACAUUUCCAUUUUUCCUUUGUCCACUCCUCAUCAACUCUUAUAAUUAUUGAUGACUUGUGCAACCUUUUCUGUUUCUUUCUUUAUUUUUUUCUUUUUGGGCAAGUGUGUUUAAGAAUCUAUUCUCGACUUGUGAUGGUGAGCAUGGAGCAUUCUAUGGAAAAAAAAUAAAAUAAAAUUAUCCAUCUUUUUUUAAAUGGAAAAGGGUCAAAAUAUUCUUGAACUAUUGAAAUAAAUUAAAAAUAUUUUUUAUUAAUUUUUUGGCUCAAAAAUGACCCUCCGUUAAAUAUUUGACUCAAAAAUAUCUCUUCCUCUAUCAGAAGUCCACCAAGGUCACCACCUGAAUUAAAAAAGUCACCUCAACCUUCCACAUCAGCAUCCACAUGUAUAAUUUCUUUUUAAAAUUCAUCAGCUCAUAAAUUAAAUAAAUGGAUCUGACCGACCCACUAGCCAAACAAGCCGAUCCUAUAACAAAUAGUGGGUAUAUGGAUCAGCAGCCAUUUGCUCUCUCAACUAUUUCACCUUUAGCUUUUGAAAUUCAAUUCCAUCUAAUGUGACUAGGCCUGCAUCUGGAUCACAAAAUCUUUGCAACAAGAAAAUAACUGUUGAUUUUUUGCUCCCAUUUUCUCCCACGAGAGCAACCAUCUAUCAUGAAGGGAUACAGAUAUUCAUCACAAUUGUUGUCAAAUCGCGUUAUAAGACCGGAAAAUGGUUCUGUGAAUAAUGCCCUAGAAUUUACCUCACGAGAGCUAAUGGCAAGGCAUAGACUUUUAGAUAGUUCAGGGUAUUUAUUCCAUAAAAAAAUAGUAUUUUAGAUAAUAAAAAAAACAUUAAUAAUAUCCAUCUAAUUUUACUCUUCUUUAAAUAGAGAAAAUUCUAUAUAACCAAGAAACUAUUAAAAAUUAUAAUUUUUUAAAGAUAUUUAUUAAGUAAAAGUUUGUAAAACACUCUAUUUUUGUUUGAACGAAUAGCUUCUUAAGUGACGUGAUCAAACUAAAGGCACCAGGAAUUUAGAAACGAAGAGACUAGAAUUAGAGAGUUGUAAAAAAAAUAAAAAAUUAAAUGAAAUAAAAAAAAAGUAAAGAAAUUGAAACCAAAGAAACGAUAUUAAACAAUGAGUCCAGCGACCGAAUGCAAAAUGUUAAUCAACGGAAGGAGGAAAUCAGUACAAUAAUCAGAUUAUUACUGCUACUCUUUCAUUUUAUCAUAACAAUAUUAUCUCUAUAUUUAAUUAUUUUCCUUUUAUUUCCAUUCGUUAAAAGAAUUUUUUUAAAAAAUUAUCCUUAUUUAGAUAAGUUUAGUUUUAUAUAACCGAGAAAUCACAUUGAAUUGGUAGGAAUAGUAUUUAGUUAAAUAUACUUUAGCGAAAAGACUUUUUGCUUUAUAGGAAUUAAUAAUUUUUUAAAGAAUAUUAUUAAACUAAAAACACCAUAUAAUAUGAACAUAGAGAAGUACUAUCUUUUAUAUUAUUUGUCCUUAAACAUUUUGGUAAAAAUUAGAUCAAUUUGGAGCCAAUUUUCUUUUUCAACUGAAUCAUUUGUUAGGUCUUUAACAUUGUUCCUCUCAAUAGUUUUCUCUAUUUAUGACUGGUAUUGUACAGUGCUGAAAAUGAAGAUAGUGCUAUCAAUUAAGAUCGACUUUUUUUUUUUUUUUUUAAAAAAAAAAGCUCUCUUUUUUCUAACUAAGCGUUAAUCUUUUCAAAUAUAAAGCACAGAUGAAAAAAUUAAAUUGAUUGUUAAGAUUCAUUUUAAUAAAUUCAAGUUAUUUCUUAAAUUUCACCUAAAUCAAAGGUUAACUCACAUUUAAUUAGCAUAAAGUUAUGACAUAUAAAAUAAUAAGUGAAGAAAAUAACUAUCAAAGAAAUCUAUUUUAUUUUAUAAAUGAAAAUAGCAUUCUCACAAAAAUCAUAAAUAUAUUUUUUCAAUUAUUAUCUUCGUCAAGUUGUAAUUAUCAUACUCGAGCUGAAUAUAUUGAAUAUGUUGUUGUUAUUACAUCCAAUUUGUGUAAUUUCAUUGAAUAUGUUGUUGUUAUUAUCAUAUUCGUUUAUAUAAUAUCAAACCACGCACGUCUCUUUUAAUAUUUGCAAAUUUUCCUACUAAAUCCACCAACCAUGUUACUUUAACAACUGAGCCAUCUUUGAGGUUGUAUGCAGACAAGACCUCAUCAAUUUUCAUUUCAACUGAAUAGUAUUCAAGUUUGUAAGAUAAAUCAUCACCCCAUUCGGCUUUAAUUAUUUCCGGCAAGCCUUUAGCCUUAUCUGUGUCUUUUAUUGGCACAUUGAACUCUGAUGUCUCCGACUCCACUUUAAUCUUGAUAUUUUGUGGUUUAGCCAUGGCCACACAGUUAGGUCAAAAAAAAAAAUUCAAAUUGAUGUUUGAUUUGGUUGAAGAAAUGACAGGAUUUUGUAGCUUCUUUAUAGGAAAAAAAUACGCGUCUGACGUGACACAAAUUUUAUGGCAAUAAUGGUUUGCGUGAUUAGUUUGGUGUAUAAUUAUUGUGUUUCUACAUCAAUGAGGAAGUCAAGCAAUCGCAGUGUUAAAAUUCUUUGUGUUCUUAUAGGUAUAUAUGUUGUUUCGGCGGGUACAAAAUCUGUAUAUUUUCUAUACAAAUUUCAAUACUAAGUUCAAGAACAACUUUCAAAAACUACAAUGAAGUUACAACAACUUCAAACACAAGUCCAAAUGAAUAAUCAAAUGAACUAUCAAAAUGAAGUGUUUAUCAACUUUAAGAAAGAAGAUGAAGUAGAAAAUUAUAGAAUCAAGUCCACCGAAUGCACGGUGUGUUCUUAAGGAAUUUUUUCCCUCAAGUAUCCGAGGUUAUGGAAUCUUUUCUCCCAGAAUAAAAUGAUUCUCUUUCUGAAAAUAGCGGUACCACAAAUUUUCAGAAACUUCGAACACACUGAACGAUUUGAUGAUCAUACGAGAGUUUUUAGAAGAAGAAGAAGAAGAAUAUUGUUUUUCUACUCAAAAAUAAUAAUUGUCUUUACUUGAGGAAAAAUCCAAGUAUUUAUAGCCAUCAAGGUACUGCUUCAUGAAGAGAAACAAUGGUUCAGAAAGAACACCCCUUCGUAAAGGUGCAACUCUUCGAAAAAGGUGCAACUCUUCGGAAAAGUCACAACCAUUGGAAAGGUCAUAAUCAUUCAAUUCGGAAAGCUGUCUAUUCAAAUUGCAUCCUUUCACUUAGUGUCUUUUAAAAAAAACCACUUUUUUCAUUUUCCAUUCACACCUCUUAACAACCCAAAAAUCCCCUACUUGAAUGGGAAAUGUCUAUCUUAUCAAAAAUUUGCGAACAAGUAUGUGAUCAACAAGCAAAUACUGAUUGUAUCUAGAUAAGUGGGUUUUUCUUUGAACUUUUCAUAGUGAAUAUGCAUCGGAUGCACUCGAUCAAUCGAUAGAUUUGAUAUCUUUGAACCGUUUAACUUUAAUAUACACCUAGACAACACAUGUCAUACAACCAGCCUUUUACCAUUUAUGGUUCUCACGAUUUUAUUCUUUUCAGUCAUGAACAUGUCUCGGUUUCAUGAGAGCAUAGAAAAUAGACCUUUACUAACAUUCUCCUUGAAACGACGUCCACUUCACCCUUACAUAGGUGAUUUCUAAAUGUUCAAUCCUAUAAAUUAAACUAUUUGGUCAAAUCUGCCAAAUUUAGAUAACCAUUAAAAAGCUUCACACCAUAAGCUUUAUUCUUGUUUCCUAAACAUUGUCUAUAUAAUGAGAAUAGGUUGAGUAUAUUGACAAUAUUGAACCGUCAGUCACAACUUUGUUUGAUCUCCAGUCUGCUAGGUAGAGUUACCGCUAUGCUGACUUGUCCUAGGCUUUAAACUCAUUUCCUUCGAUGUUCUCUCAACUCUCUCAAGAUAAACCUUUUGUAAGUGGAUCCGACACAUUAUCCAUUGACUCCACAUAGUCAACAAUGAUAAUUUCACUGGAGAAUAGUUCUCUAACAGUAUUAUGUCUCCGUCUUAUAUGAUGAGAUUUACCCAACUUCUUCACCAGCUUUAUCUUAUGAGAUAAAUUCAGAUUCCAUUGUAGAGCAGGUAAUACAUGUCUAUUUGGACGAUUUCCAAGAGACUUCUCCUCCACCCAAAGUAAAUACAUAUCCACUCAUGGAUUUUACUUUAUUUAAUUCGGUGAUCCAAUUGCAUCACUAUAUUCUUCAAUGACCGAUGGAUAUUUAUUAUAAUGGAAAGCAUAGUCUUGAGUGUAUUUAAGAUACUCCAAAGAUCUUUUCAUUGCCAUUCAAUGAGUUUUAUUGGGAUUAGUCAUGUACCAACUCAAUUUACUAAUAGCAGGUGUUAUGUCUGGCCGUGUACAGUUCACAAUAUACAUUAAACAUCCCAACACUCUUGUGUAGUCCAACUGUGAGUCACUUUCACCUUCAUUCUUUUGAAGUGUAAAACUCACGUCUAAUGGAGUCUUGUCAAUAUCGAAGUUCUAUUAUUUAAACUUGUCAAGUACUUUUUCAAUGUAAUGAGAUUGUGACAAUGCCAAUCUUUGUGAAGUUUUAUGAAUUCUUACCCCUAUGAUCAUUCCGCAACUCCAAGGUCUUUUAUAUCAAACUUGCUCUCAAGCAUUCGUUUCAUAGCAUUUAUGUCAGAAAUAUCUAUACUGAUGAUCAACAUGCCAUCCACAUACAAACAAACAAUGACCUUGUGAUUUUGAGUGUCUUUAUUGUAUAUAUGUUUAUCAUAUUCAUUUAUCUUAAAAUCAUUUACCAACAUGGUUUGGUCAAACUUUGCAUGUCAUUGUUUGGUGUUUGUUUUAGUCCAUAAAGUGACUUAACAAGUUUGCACACCUUCUUUUCAUUACCAAGAACCACAAAACCCUCAAGUUGUUCCAUGUAAAUUUCUUCCUUCAACUUUCCAUUUAGGAAUGAUGUUUUCACAUCAUUUGAUGGAUUUCAAGAUCAUAUACCGCCUCCAAGGCAACUAAUUUUGAAUUGAUGUUAUCCUUUUUACAAGUGAGUAUGUAUCAAAAUAAUCAAGGCCUUCCUUCUGUUUGAAGCCUUUCACUACAAGUCUUGCCUUGUAUUUGUCAAUAGUACUAUCCACUUGGAUUUUCCUUUUGAAGAUCCAUUUAGAACCUAAAGGUUUAUUUCAUGGAGGAAGAUCAACCAACUCCCAAGUAUGGUUGCUCAAGAUUGAAGCAAUCUUACUAUUGACUACUUCUGUCUAAAAAGAUGAGUCUGAAGAUAGCAUCGCUUCUUUAAACGUUUAAGGCUUAUUUUCUAGGAGAAAUGAUACAAAAUUCGAUCCAAAAGAAGUUGAUAUUAUUUGAUGUGUACUACGUCUUGAAUUUUCAUCAUUAUGUACAUUCUCUCUUAGUUUAUCUCAAGGUCGUUUAGACCCCCCACUAGACCGUACGUGUCUAGUUCCAUACAGAUAAAUGUGUUCAAAGAACUCAGCAUUAUCUGAUUCAAUUAUCGUAUUUUCAUUGAUAUUCGAAUGUUCGGAUAAACCAAAAAUCAACAUGCUUUACUACUUCUAGCAUAUCCUAUAAACAUGCAAUCCAUAGUCUUAGGUCCUAUCUUUACCCGUUUAGUCAUAAGAACUUGGACUUUCGCUAGACACCCCCAAACUUUGAAAUAUUUCAAGUUGGGUUUUCUUCUAUUUUUCAUAUGGAAUUGAUAGUGUCUUACUAUGGGACACUCUAUUAAGUAUUCGAUUAGCUGUAAGGAUAGCUUCCACCCACAAGUUUUGUGGUAAUCCUGAAUUUAUAACUAAGGCAUUCAUCAUUUCCUUUAAGAUUCAGUUAUUUCUUUCCGCAAUCUCAUUAGAUUGAGGUAAAUACAGGACAGUAGUUUGAUAGAUAAUUUUAUUCUUUACACAUAUUUUUUGAAAAGAAGAUUCAUAUUCUCCACCCCUAUCACUUCUUAUUAUUUUGAUCUUUUUCUUUAACCGAUUUUUAAUUUCUGUUAUAUAUUGCCUAAAUGCAUCUAUUGCUUCAUCCUUACUAUUUAGCAAAUAGACAUAACAGUACCUAGAGAAAUCAUCAAUAAAAGUUAUAAAAUACUUCUUUCCACCAUGAGAUGGUGUUAACUUCAUAUCAUAAAUAUCUGUGUGGAUUGAAUCUAAGGGAUUGAAAUUUCUUUCAACGGAUUUAUACGAAUGCUUAGCAUACUUUGAUUCCAUACACAUUUGAUAUUUUGAUUUAUUAUACUCAAAGUUAGGCAGUCCUUCCAAACUAAUCAGUUUUCAUAAGGUUUUAUACUUGACAUGUCCUAAACGACUAUGUCAUAAAUCCUUUGACUCUAGAAAGUAAGAAGAAGCCUCAGCUUUAUUUCAACAACCAUUACAUAAGGUUUGAAAAGGCCCUAAUUGAGGUAGCCUAUUCCUACAUACAUUUCAUUCUUGCUUAUUACAACUUUCUCUGAAAUAAACACACACUUAAACUCAUUCUUAACGUGAAGUAUUGUCGACACUAAGUUUUUCCUAAUAGUAGUAACAUGGAGAACAUUGUUGAAAGUCAACACUUUCCCAAAAGUCACUUUUGAGAAUAUCUUCCCACUUCCUUCAACCUUGGUUUUUGCAUUAUUUCUCAUGAAAAUUACUUCUUUGGGACCAACGGGAUCAUAUGUAGCGAAAGCUUUUUUGUCUGCUCAAACAUGUCUAUUGGCUCCUAAAUUAAACCAUUAUUCAUUUGGAUAUCCAACUAGAUUGCUUUCAGUGAUCAUAUCACAUAUAUUUUCAAUCUUUCUAGUUGUUUCCAACAUGUUAUCUAAUCAUUUUCUUGUUCUUAUUUAGAACUUGAUUAUUUAGAGCUUUGAUGCCAAUAUUACUACAAAUGUAGCAAUUACCUUUGAACAUUUUCUUAUUCUGCUCUUUUUCUUGUCCAGAAGACUGCUUCAUUUCUUAUUAUUUGGAGAAUUAUCCUUAACAGGACUUGCAAUAUAUUUUUCAUUCAACUCAUUAUCCUUGUCUAUCUUGGAAUGACUCACAAGAUCUUUUAAAUCAGAUAAUUGAUUUUUACUCAUUAUUUUUUCUAGAAUAUGAGGAUCUAUACUUUUGAACAUAUGCAUUUCAAGUUUGGCCAGCCAAAAUUACAUCAUUUCCUGAUAUUCUUUGAAUUUCACACCAAGAUAUUUUCUAAUUUCUUUGUCAUUUUCAUUGCUAAAGCAAUACAUGAACGACUUAAUGAUGCAAUAUUGAUUGUCGUUGGGAGAACACCAUUCAUAAUCAAAUGAAUUUAUUGUUCAAUAUCAUUCGUCAUUUUUCUGUCAACUUUUGAUAUACUCUUUAAUAUUUCAGAAUACUAACAAUAAAGAUUUUAAUCUUUAGCCAACUUGCUUCUAGUCAAUGGUGAAGUUUUUAUAUCUUCAAAUCAUCAAUUGGAUGAACUUUGGAACAUGACGAAGUUUUUAUGAAUUCAAAUCAGAAUCAAAUUCAAACAGAGAGAAAUCCCAUAGAUUUUAAAAUCCAAAAAUCAAUACAGAGAUUUUAAGGAAUCGAUGAACUUUUUAUAUUCUUCGAACCGAAUUUUCACACUGAUUUCUUGAUGAAGUUUUUAUAUUCUUCUAACCGGGGGAGUAGAAAUCAAAAGAUUUUAGUCUCCACAAAUCAAACCAAAUAUAGAUUAACCAAAUACUUGAUUUAUAAAUGGCGAUAAAUUUUUUCCCCUUCACCAAACAAGCACAAAAAAUAAAUAUUUUUAUACUUUUCUUAAAAUUGUUGUUUUUCUUAAUUUAUUUUUGUAAAAUCUGUAUUUUCCAAUAAUAACUUCAAAUACAUGUUCAAAUUAACAUAUGAACAAACAAAUGAAGUUUAAAAUCUGUAUUUACAACUUUGAACUUUUAACAAUAAGUUCAACCCAACUUAUGAACAUCAACAAAAUGAGUUCAAACUAUUUUUUGAAUAAUAGCAAAACCAAAUUGUUAGAUCAAUGAAGCUUUGAUGAUUGACAUACAAUGAAACAUGUUACUCAAGUUGAUCCAAUCACAUGAAGAUAGCCACUAAGAAAAGAGGACAAGAAUGGAUAAGCUUUCUUGCUCUCUUGAUGGAUCAUGUGUGAUAAAGAAGAAGUUGUAGCUAAAUACAACACCUUAUUGAUAAGCUGAAGAGAAAGAGUUUUAUUCAAAUAAAAAGAUCAAGUUGAAGAAGAAUUUUUACCGAUGCAAGGAGUUGUAUUCGAAGAAGGACUUUGAGUUGACAACAAACGCAGUUAAAUUAAAGAGUCCAAAGCAAGGUAGAAGACCAAUGACUUUGAAGGACUCUUUGAAGAGUUGUUAUAUAUAGAGAGAUUAACUCAUUUCGUACCUUAUGAACUUAAAUAAAUAGCAACACAUCAAAUAAUUAUCAGUGAAGUUCCAAAGCUUGAAGCGGCCUGAGUUAAACCUGUUCCUAUUACUUAGAGUUAAGGAGUCUUAGACUUUAUGUAUUAGGUUGGUUCUUGAUUUGUAUUGUUUUCUUGUCUCAGCGAAGUAUAAAUUGAGUUAGGAGCAUUGUUUUCAAGUUUGGAAACUCGAAGACUUGUGAACACUCACCUUGGGAAGGUUUGUGUUUUUGUAGAAAUGGGAGUUAGAGUUUAAUUCCUAAAUUAUAAGAGUCUUGUAAUUUGUUGAUUGUUAAGGCUCAAUUGUUUUAAUGGAGUUGGAGUCAAAUCCUAUAGAGGUACAGGUCAUGAUUUUUUACACUUCUUAGAGCCGAGUGUUUUACACGUAAAAUUACUGUGUAAUUUAUUUACUGUUUAGAUGGAUAAAAACACGUUAGUAGACCUAUUCCAGUGAUAAGCAACCGCUAGGCUAAAACAAGUAAUCAGUAGGGCACGUACUCUAACAAGUGGUAUCACAACCAGUUGUCUUACAUAAGUUUAGCACCUAAGAAAAGAUCACUAUGUUGAAUUCUGCACCUCCUACUGGUCACAGUGAAGGCCAAUCCACUACUAGGCCUCCUCUUUUUUAUGAUACUCAUUUUGCAUGGGGGAAAGAUAAAAUGGAAAUGUUCAUUCAAGAAGAAGACUAUGAGUUAUGGGAUAGAAUUACUGAUGUUCCAAUUAUCCCGAUGAAGUUGGAAGAUAGAGAACAAGUUAAAAAGGUGAUAAGUGAAUUUACUACCGAUGAUUUGGUGGCACUAAAGAAAAAUGCAAGAGAAAAUAACAUCUUAGUGUGUGUACUAGGUCCAGCAGAGUACAACAGAGUAUCUACUUGAACCACUGCCAAGAAAGUUUGGGAUACCUUAGUGAAUGCACAUAAGGGCACCAUUCAAGUGAGAAAAUUUAGAGUUGCUCUUCUCUUCACAGAAUAUGAAGCUUUUAAGAUGAAGGACAAUGAAUCCCUUCAUCAGAUGAUGUCAACACUUACUGUUUUAACCUAUGAAUUAACCUCUUUGGGAAAAUCUAUCACUACUGAGGAGCAAGUUGAGAAAGCGUUGAGGGUCUUGCCAAAAUAUAAAUAAGAUGUCAAGGUUAUUGCGAUUAGGGAGGCCAAGGAUCUAACUAAUAUGACUUAGAUAAAUUUGUGGGUAACCUGAAGACUUAUGAGAUGCAAAUUAAUGAAGCCAAGAAUGAGAAGAUAGCUCUUGAGAAAACUUUAGCCCUAUAGUCUUUAGUCAGUAACAAAGAAGUGGAACUGACUGAAGAACAAGUGGCUUUUAUAACAAAAAUUUUUAGCAAAGUCUUCAGGAAAAAGAACGGAAUAGGUAGCAAAAGGCGAUCUAAUGAAAAUCUCACUGGGUCUUAUAAGUGUGGUAAAACUGAUCAUCAAGUCAGAGAUUGUCUUGUUUGGGAGAUUAAAUAGAGAAAAGAAAGAGCUGAGAAAGAAUUAAGAGAAAAGGAUAGGAAAAAAGAAAAGGAAGAAGUUGUUAUGGUGGCUGCUUGGGGAUGUGACUCUGAAGGAUCAGAUGAGAAAGAGGUAGAUGAAACUGCUCUUAUAAAAAUCAGAGAUUUAGACAUGGAGGAUGAAGGAAAAAUUGUUGAGGUAAGUAUUCCUAAACUUAAAAAGAAUUUACAUCUAUUUUCCAAAGAAAAACCUAUUACCUUGAUGAAUAGCUUAAUAGAUGAUUUUCAAGAAUUAUCUUCUGAUAGGGAUGAACUAUUCAACAGUCUUGCAAGUCUCAAAUACGAGCUUAUUGAUCUGGAAACUUGCAAAAACAUUGUUGAAAAAGAAAACCAUGCUUUCAAGGAACAAGUUAGUCAACUUGAUUCUUAAAAUCUGAAUUAACAAUCUGAGAUCAUAGAACUGACUCUUUCUAAAAAGGGUAAAAAGGUGGAACGGGAUGAUCAGAAAAGACUUGAGCUUGAGUUAACCAAGGUUAAACAUGAAUGUAAUAAUGAAAAUAAAAAGGUAAAUAAGUUAAUCCAAGAAAUAUCUAGGUUGAAAAUUGAUCUGGAAAGGGAAAAUAGAUGGACAAACUCCUCAAGAAUUGUUUAUCAAUUGGGUGAAAACACUCACAGUGAAAAGACUGGUUUAAGAUUUUUCAAAAGUUACACUGUCUCUGAUGAUUUAUGCUAUAUUUGUGGCAAUUUUGGACAUCACACUACGGAGUGUCCAACUGCUAAUAAAAGCAGAUCCAGAAGUACAAAUCUAGCAAAGAAAUCAGAUCUCAUAAGAUCUUACAUAAAUAAAGUAAAUAACAAAAUCAGUCAGAAGAAUAUGUCAAAUAACAUGCUGCCUCAUUGGGUAAAAAGAAACUUGAUUCAUCUUUUUUCUCAUAAGAAAGGAUCCAAGCUUAUCUGGGUUCAUAAAGUUAACCUCUAAUUUGUUUUGCAGGCAAGGGAGAAAGAAGGUAAGCAAACUUAGUACAUGGUUGGAGCUUGCCCAAGGAAUAGGAAUGGAAAAAAUUAAAGUUCCUUUCACUCACCAUGGUUGACGAGGGGGUGAUUUUGUUGAAAGAACCAGAAUAAAAGUUUUCUUAGUAUUGGUGAAAGGGGAAAGUAAGAGGGAUCCUCCUACAUAAUAAAAUAAUCAGAUAAGUACUAUCUAAUUCUUGGAUCUGAUUCUUAUGAAUCCUUGUGGACUAAUAUAUAAAGAAGAAAAAAGAAAUGGUUAUAAUAAAAUUAUCGGUCAUACAUAGAAACAGGUCGUGCUACCAGGUCCAACUAACUGUUCAUGCUGAGGGCUUAGUGACGGGGGGAACAAGUCAUGAGACUGAAUCAUAAAUAGGCAAGACUCUUGAAGGGAGUAAGACUUCAACUUGAAAGGUUAUUAUAAUAAUGUUUAUUCAAGAUAUUCUGUAGACAGAAAAAAUACUACCGAGAUAAUACACCUUACUGGAUCAUGUCUAACAACCCGGUCCACUAAGAAUGAAACUCAGUUGCUCUAUCUACUAUUGAGACUUAGUGUGUUGAUGUUGGUUCAUAUUGAGCCCAAUUGUUGUAGAUCAAGCAACAACCAAUGGAUUUUUGUAUGAAUGAAUGUUGUGUUUCUACCUUUGGUGAAAAUACAAGUAUCAUCAAAUUUGCAAAGAAUCAUGUACUACACAUAAGAUUUAAAACAUAUGGAUAUUAGACAUAAUUUUCUUAGAGAUAAUAUUGAGGAAAGUAUUGUAUCUAUCAUAUUCUGUCUUAUGUAAAAUCAAAUUGCUAAGGCACUUAUUAGAGAAUACUGUGGAAAUAGUAGAUUAGAACUAGGGUUGAUUAAGAUUGCAUGAACUCCCUUCAAAUAAUUGAUUAAAAGCAUCUGUUCUUGGGUGGUCUUGAGCUAAAAUUGUUAAAAAAUUCAGUCUUACACAUUUAAUUGUGUAUCUUAAGUCCUCAACUUGUAUUAACCCUAAUAAACCUUGUAUUAAUUCUUGCAGGGAUACUGGAUUGUUUAAGCACAUGAGUUCAUGAUUUCUUGCAUCAGAUACAAAUUUACAAGUACCUCCUUAAAUUGCUAUAGUUGAAACAGAUGAGUUUGUGUGGUCCAAGUAUUACUUGUUCUAAUUCUAAUGGGAAACUGCCAAAAUUUCAAGAGUCCAUUAUUUUUCAAAAAACUGCCACCGCCUUUACUUCACUGCAACCUUUCACAUCAUCUCCUAUCUGAACUCAAUUAUUACAUCUUCUUUAUGUUUCAACUUCUAAUCUUUUUCUUCUUAAAUAUGUUUCAUACUUGAGUGUCUUCUCACACCAAAUAUCCAAAGCUCUUUCUAAUAUCCUCUAUCUUAUAGGAUUUGCUACAACGGCCUCCCACUCUUCAUCUGAGUCAUCAAAAUUAAACCUUCCAAAUAAAGCUACAUCUACUGAACUCAUUGUUCUUCUAGAUGCUAACAGUUUAAUUCCCAUUCCCCACAGCAUCUCCAUACAAUUAUCCAAUUUUGCUAGUUAGUCCAACUUUAAAAAUUAGUUUUCUCAGUUCUUAGCAGGUCAGUCCUUCACUCAAAAUCUAAAACUAGUAGUUCUUGAUAUCCCACCUCUUUAAAUCUUGGAUUCAGAAGACACUGAUGAAAUUCCAUUGCGGAUUGAAUCCCUCGAUGAUCCAAAUCUAAGUCCACAAAGAAGAAUUCCCCAAUUCCUAUUAUUGUUGAAUAAGUGGACCUACCUAAUGAACCACAUUCAUUUUUUGUUUCACCUAGAACGCCUCACACUCGCAAUAAAAAAGCCAAGAUGAGGCUUCUAUGCUGAGGCACUUCGAUCUAGUAAGAGGACAUGCUCGAUUCCACCCAUUCCUAAAUCUCCUUUCUCCUCCCAAGAUGUAUUACUCCACUCUGUGAGGAAGGGAAAAAUAAAACAUUGUAUCCCUAAACCCUGUGUCUUUUGACCACCACUUUCCACUCCCAAUUCCAAAGAGAAUACCUUACCAUCUCCCUCAUCGAAACUCUCCAAGUCUAAAAUUUCCACUAGCUCUAGAAAAUGGGUUUCUACACCUGUUCUAUCAGAAACUUCUGGGUCUGAUACCACUCGGCUGUCUCUUCUGAGUUUGAUGAGGAUUUUGACAUCGAGGAGAUUCCUAACCCUCUUGAUUCUAAGGUUGAUCAUGUUCUCCACUUUCAGAAGAGGAAACUUGCUAGGGGUAAGGUAGUGACUUAUUUUGGAGGUCCUGCUAUGGCAGUAUUGUUGACAAAAUUAGUGGCUCAAAGGUGGACCAACUUGUUCCUUCAAGGUGAUUCUCAGAGGAAGUUUGGAAAAUCUGAUGUGUAUGAAUUUUACACCAAUGGAAUUGAAAGAGGUGAUUUAUUUUCUUCCUCUUUGAGAGAAGUUCCUAUCAAUCUAGUCAUUAAUAAUCUGGCUAGGAUCUUAGAUAUUCCUUUAGGGGGUUGGGGUCAUUAUGUUAAGUUUGAAUGGUCCCCUUUAGACAAUCUUGCUUCUGCCUUGGAUAUUUCCAAAAAUUUCUCUAGAAAUCAUAAUCUUCUUCAUCAUAGAUAAGUUCUCAAGCUGAGAUGUCCCCUCUCUAUCAACUAUAUUUUGAUUUUGUACACUAGAUGAUUAUUCCUAGAAAAAAAAGACGUACUGAGGCAAACUUCGUUGAUUUAACUCUCAUGAAACUCUUGGAUACAGAAGUCAAAAUUGACUUGCCCAAAAUCAUGAUCAAGCACAUGAAAAUGGUCCUUAUCAAAGAUGAAAAAAGGACAUGCCCUGCCUUAUGAGUUCUGGCUGGCACCAGUGCUUGAAGACUACUCAGUGCCUAUAUAAGUGUGCUCCUUGCAGACCACAAAGGAUGUCAUUGGCACAAUGGAUCAUUUGGGACUACCUGUUUUUAUAAGAAGUGUUGAUACUCCUCUUCAACGGGCCAAGAAUGCUCUUCCUGAGAAAGAUGUUGCAAUAAUCACAGCUCUGGCUGAACAUGAGGCCAAGAAGGCUAUGCUUCAAGAUAAAAUUAAUCUUCUCCAGGCUGAACUUGCACGUGAAUAAGCUAAAAAUGUUGAAACUGUUCGAAGGCUGACCCAGCUUAUCCCGUCUCCCCCUUCCCCCUCUUCUUAGAGCCUUAGGAUCUUUUUUUCAUCUGCUUUAUCUUUAAUUCUUAAGUACUGGGUUCUUGUAAUUCGUAGUUGAUCUUUAAUGAAAUGGUUCUUUUUCUAUUGACAAUCUUAUUCCUAUUUUUUUAAUGCCUUGUUUAUUCACCUUAUUAAAAGUUUUACUUUGACUUAAUGAUGGUACCAGUGGAUAUGAAUUAUCUGACAUUUAAUCCUAGUCUAGCUUUCCCUUGAACCAGAUUUUCGAUGAUGUCAAAAGGGGGAAGAUGAGUUGUGCAAUAUUCAUUACCUAAUGACUAAUCUGUUUCAUUUCAGUGUCUUUCUCUUGACUAAGUAUUUCAGGGAAUGGAUUAACUGCAUCAAAUAGACAGAAUUUGUCAUCAUCAAAAAGGAAAAAUUUGUUAGAUCAAUGAAGUUUUGAUGAUUGACAUAAAAAUGAAACAUGUUACUCAAACUGGUCCAAUCACAUGAAGACAGUCUCUAAGAAAUGCAGAUAAGAAUGGAUAAGCUCCCUUGCUCUCUUGAUAGAUCACAUGUGAUAAAGAAGAAGUUGUAGCUAAAUACAAGACCUUAUUGAUAAGCUGAAAAGAAAGAUUUUCAUUCAAACAAGGAGAUUAAGUUGAAGAAAGAGUUUUACCAAUGUAAGGAGUUGUACUCGAAGAAGGACUUUGAGUUGACAGCAAAAGCGGUUAAACUAACGAGUCCAAAGCAAGGUAGAAGACUAAUGACUUUAAAGGACUCUUUGAAGAGUUGUUAUAUAUCGAGGGAGUAACUCAUUUUGUUACUUAUACACUUAAAAAGAUAGCAAUACAUCAAUGAAUUAUCAAUGAAGUUACGAAGCUUGAAGCAGCUUGAGUUGAACCUGUUCCUAUUACUUCGAGUUAAGGAGUCUUUGACUUUAUGUAUUAGGUUGGAUCUUGAGUUGUAUUGCUUUCUAGUCACAGUGAAGUAUAAACUGAGUUAGGAGUAUUGUUUUCCAGUUUAGGAACUCAAAGACUUGCGAACGCUCACCUUGGGAAGGUUUGUGUUUUUGUAGAAAUAGGAGUUAGAGUUUAAUUCCUAGAUUACAAUAGUUUUAUAGUUUGUUAAUUGUUGAGGCUCAAUUAUUUUAGUGGAGUUAGGGUUAAAUCCUGUAGAGGUACAAGUCAUGAUUUUUUACACCUCUUUAAGCCAGGUGUUUUUCACGUUAACAUCACUGUACAAUUUACUUAUUAUUUUAACUAGAUAGGAAUACGUUAGUAGACCUAUUCCAGUGCUAGGCAACCGCUAGGCUAAAACAAGUAAUCAGUAGGGUAUGUACUCUAACACAAAUGUUAAGAGCUUUAGGACAAGUUCAGCCAACUUAUUAACUAUCAAAAUAAAGUUUCAAGAACUUCAAACACAAGUUUAAAAAGUUGAAGAACUAUCAAUAUGAAGUUCAAACUAUUUACUGAAAAACAGUAUUCCAAACAAUACAGAUUAGUAUAAAUUCCUUAAGAUUGUUGUUCCGGCGGGUACAAAAUCUGUAUGUAUUCUACAAACCUCAAUCCUAAGUUCAAGAACAACUUUCAAAAACUGCAAUGAAGUUACAACAACUUCAAACACAAGUCCAAAUGAAUAAUCAAAUGAACUAUCAAAAUAAAGCGUUUAUCAAAUUUAAGAAAGAAGAUGAAGUAGAAAAGUGUAGAAUUAAGUCCACCGAAUGUACGGUGUGUCCUUAAGGAAUUUAUUCCCUUCAAGUACCCGAGGUUAUGGAAUUUUUCCUCCCAGGAUAAAAUGAUUCUCUUUCUGAAAAUAGUGGUACCUCAAAUUUUCAGAAAUUUUGAACACACUCGACGAUUUGAUGAUCAUACGAGAGUUUUUAGAAGAAGAAGAAGAUUAUUUUUCUACUCAAAAAUAAUAAUUGUCUUUACCUGAGGAAAAAUUCAGGUAUUUAUAGCUAUCAAGGUAUUGCUUCAUGAAGAGAAGCAAUGGUUCAGAAAGGUACACUCCUUCGUAUAGGUGCAACUCUUCGAAAAAGGUGCAACUCUUCGGAAAAGUCACAACGAUUGGAAAGGUCAUAAGCAUUCAAUUUGAAAAGGUGUCUAUUCAAAUUGUAUCCUUUCACUUAGUGUUUUUGAAAAAAAAAAAAACACCACCUUUUCAUUUUCCAUUCACACCUCUUAAUAACCCAACAAUAUAUAUUGACUGAAUUUCCGAAAAAAUAAACUAUAAUUUUUAUUUCUAAAACAAAAUGGAUUAUUUAUAAAAUUUGAGGUGUUUGACCAAUAUGAGUUGUUACUACUCUUUUGCUGAAAAAGAAAGGGAAAAGGAACAAAAUGCUACCUAUACUAUAAUCGAAUUUUGCCUUAGAAGAUAAGUGAUAAUUCACGCCAAAAACAAUAUCUAGAGCUGGUUCUCCUAUACGACACAUUAACAAGAUUAUAUAUACUUCUUAGCUAUGUUGAUGACCAUAUAUAAAAGGUAUCAUCAGUUAUUAUAUUUGGUUAUGAAUUGGAGAGGAACAAUUUUAAUUUGCAACAAGCUAAUCAACAUGGAAACCAAAAUCAUUCCUUGUAGCUUCAAAGUAUUCAUCAUGGUAAGUGAUCAAUCAAAAUCUACAAAAAGACCAUGAUGAAUAGUCACGUCUCGAAUAUAUAUAUAUCCUGAUUUUCAUUCACCCGAAAAGAGAUCGUUGCCCUCAACGUCAUUUGUGUCCGUCCAGGCGGCUUUUGAUAUUUGGAGGUGAACUGAUUGAGUGUUUAUGAAGGUGAUUGUGAAGCGAUUGGAUGCUAGUUUGAUGGCUAGCUUAGUACAAAAGGAAUUACAUGAUUGGAGAGGGUAAGGAAAUAAAAUAGCAUGAGACUUUUGGUGAGUACUUUGGUUCAUUUUUAUAAUGAAGUUCUAUUUAUUUUAGGUAGAACAUGGAUUAUGCAUUAAAGGGGCUCCUAGUAUGAGGAACACCAGUGUUAUCACUAAAUAUGAUGAAAACAUACAGAAUAUGGUGCAGAAAAUGUUGGUGACCUUUAUUAAUAGAUCACUCCUUUUGUGAGACAUAUGAAGUAGUAUCUAACAACAUUGCCCACCCCGGCCAUCAUGACGUUGUUUCUAGACUUGGAUAAUCAGUAUAGCCAACAAUAGGAUCUGAUGUGUAGAAUGUCUCCCUGUUAUACUUGUUGAGAGGAGCAUUUAGCUCAAAUCGAUUUGGUAAAUCUGGAUUUGCUAAGAAUAGACGCCCAUAUGCGACCAGAUCAGCUCGAUCUUCAACCACGACAUUGUUUCCAUCUUCUCUAUCGUAACCACCAGCUACUAUAAAAGUACCUUUAAAUGCCUUCCUCAUGGGUACAAGGCUCUCAGAGCAUUCAGAUUUUUCCCAAGCUUGUUUCAUCCUAGGCUCAACGACGUGGCAGUAAGCAAUGCCAUACUUGUUCAAAGAUUCAGCCAUGUAAAGUCCCAAAGCACUUGGAUUUGUGUCUCCCGAUUCCAUGUAACUUGCAAAUGGGGAAAGCCUUAUUCCAACUCUAUCACCUCCUAUCUCAUUUACAAUCGCUUCAACUAUUUCAAGUGCAAAUCUACAACGAUUCCCUAAUGAUCCUCCAUAUUGGUCAGUUCGAUCAUUGACUUGAUCUUUCAUAAACUGAUCAAUUAGGUACCCAUGAGCUCCAUGGAUCUCAACUCCAUCAAAUCCCGCUUCAAUUGAAUUUCUAGCAGCAAUCCGAAAAUCAUUAACAAUUUGAGGAAUUUCAUUUGUUGUUAGCCGUCGUGGUGGUGUAAAGUGUAUCACAUCGAGGCCAUUGGAACGAAUUUGAGGUGCUAAUGGCUUGUCUGUGCAGGAAAUGGGAUCCUGUCCACUGGUCUGAAACUCUAUUGAAAGGGGUCAGUUAAGA